GCAAAAUCAAGUUAGAACAUUCACAGAAAGAGGAAACACAAACACCUGACAAAUCAGAGAAAAGGUCGCAAAGGAGCCUUAAUAUACACCAGCCUAGGAUAUCCCCGUUAUAACUCAUGGACGCUGAUUUUCAAGUCGUCAUUUGUUUCAGUGCGCACACAAUUGUUAUUUAACUUGGCCUCACACUAACUGCACCCACAGCUUAUCGAAAAUUACUGCUGACGCAACGUCAACUGUGCAGCAUUUCCACCAGGGCGUUGUGUCCGCCAUCAGCAUCACAUCAGCUGUGACGUUACCGUCAGCUACACCUAACAGAAAUUUAUUACAGCUCGCUGACGAUGUUUAACAUUUCAGACGGUGGCUAGUGAUCCAUUCUGGUGAACAUGUGGCAUCAUACAACAAGUCCUUAAACGACCUUAUAUGCAUGUUCUGGUCAUCAGCUACAGGUGGCCUGCUGCAAGUCCCUCACGCCAGUUAUGUAAAUCAGAUGGUGCCCCAGCUUUACUUCCAGAAACUUCAGCUUCCAGCACUCCAGUCCCACGAACUGUGCUAUUGGGAUGAUCAUUUCACGCUACACUGAGUGAGGCAGUGAUUAUGUUGCACUCACAGAGACGUUUAAGACAAUAAGACAAGGUCAACAAUACUUUUCAUCAUGGAAUCGAUGCAAUCAGUGUGAAAAACUGAUAGAUGUCUUCUUUGAUCGUGCUGGAAUCAAUACACCUCCAAUCUCCGGUUAAACUAGUCUGACUAUGAGACUCCUUCUGUUGCUUUAAUUGGACCCUGUUUGUCUCAUAAUCAAGGCUUUCACCAACUCUGUGGCUGUCAGUGAUGGAAUGUAACCCAGUAGAUUCGCUCAAGUGCUGCAAGUACAAUUUCUGCUUUACUUAAGUACAUUUUCUGCUGUUUUAUUCUUUCACUUUUAACAACAUGAUUUUUUAGCACAACGUCUCUUUUACUCAAGCAUGACUUUUGGUUAUACAUCCCCAGUGGCUUUUAGGUACAUAUGCAGAGAACGGGAUGGAGAAACAACACAAUAAGCUGUUUGAGAACUGACAAUCUGGUGUAGAGGGAGACGACCGACGACUGAUAUUCUUUUUACCUUCAAAGGACGUGUUUGUUUUAAACUCUCAGAGGAAAUGAACCAAGGGAACAUGAAUGAUGAAAUGUAUUGUUACUUGUCAAGAGCUCAUUGAUCCAGGAGUCUUUGUAAUUCACACAGUCUUCAGGUAGAUAGGUUUUUCUACCUCAUGUCAGCUCUGAGGAAAGGUGCUGUUUAACACAAGGAUUUAGUGGAGGCUGCAACAAAUGGAGCCUGUAAGACCAUUUCUUUUUUCGCUCCAACAUUCAGAAUAGAUGCAAUUACCAUAGAAAAUAAUAUACCUGCAUAAUACCCAUGCAAAAGGAAGGUCCUUGAAUUAAAAUA